AGGGAAACCGAGUCUUAAUUGGGCGUUAAGUUGCAGGGUAUAGACCCGAAACCCGGUGAUCUAGCCAUGGGCAGGUUGAAGGUUGGGUAACACUAACUGGAGGACCGAACCGACUAAUGUUGAAAAAUUAGCGGAUGACCUGUGGCUGGGGGUGAAAGGCCAAUCAAACCGGGAGAUAGCUGGUUCUCCCCGAAAGCUAUUUAGGUAGCGCCUCGUGAAUUCAUCUCCGGGGGUAGAGCACUGUUUCGGCUAGGGGGCCAUCCCGGCUUACCAACCCGAUGCAAACUGCGAAUACCGGAGAAUGUUAUCACGGGAGACACACGGCGGGUGCUAACGUCCGUCGUGAAGAGGGAAACAACCCAGACCGCCAGCUAAGGUCCCAAAGUCAUGGUUAAGUGGGAAACGAUGUGGGAAGGCCCAGACAGCCAGGAUGUUGGCUUAGAAGCAGCCAUCAUUUAAAGAAAGCGUAAUAGCUCACUGGUCGAGUCGGCCUGCGCGGAAGAUGUAACGGGGCUAAACCAUGCACCGAAGCUGCGGCAGCGACGCUGAUGCGUUGUUGGGUAGGGGAGCGUUCUGUAAGCCUGUGAAGGUGUGUCGUGAGGC
rnacentral:rRNA from 1 species